rnacentral:misc_RNA from 1 species
UUGUUUCGAUUUACUCGUAAACUCCGACGCAAAUGAUGCAGUGUUUUGAUGGUCCUCCGGGGGCGCCCGGCAGGGUCGCCCCCGAAGCAACGGGAUGUGUUCACAAAGGGUUGGAGGUCGGACCCGGAGGCCCUAACUCGGUAAUGAUCCCUCCGCAGGUUCACCUACGGAGA